rnacentral:rRNA from 1 species
CGAACGGGUGAGUAAUGCGUGACCAACCUGCCCCAUGCUCCAGAAUAGUUCUUGGAAACGGGUGGUAAUGCUGGAUGCUCCAACUUGACGCAUGUCUUGUUGGGAAAGUGUUUAGUGGCAUGGGAUGGGGUCGCGUCCUAUCAGCUUGUAGGCGGGGUAAUGGCCACCUAGGCUUCGACGGGUAGCCGGCUGAGAGGGCGGACGGCCACAUUGGGACUGAGAUACGGCCCAGACUCCUACGGGAGGCAGCAGAC